UACGAAAGGGGCUAGCGUUGUUCGGAAUUACUGGGCGUAAAGCGCACGUAGGCGGAUGUUCAAGUCGGGGGUGAAAUCCCGGGGCUCAACCCCGGAAUGGCCUCCGAUACUGGAUGUCUUGAGGUCUGGAGAGGUGGGUGGAAGUCCGAGUGUAGAGGUGAAAUUCGUAGAUAUUCGGAGGAACACCAGUGGCGAAGGCGGCCCACUGGCCAGAUACUGACGCUGAGGUGCGAAAGCGUGGGGAGCAAACAGG
rnacentral:rRNA from 1 species